rnacentral:rRNA from 1 species
GAUGAACGCUGGCGGCGUGCUUAACACAUGCAAGUCGAGCGAGAAGUUUUGAAAAGAUUCUUCGGAUGAAAUUUAAAAUGGAAAGCGGCGGACGGGUGAGUAACGCGUAGGCAACCUGCCCCAUACAAAGGGAUAGCAUUUGGAAACGAAUAUUAAUACCUUAUGAAACUUAACUAGUGCAUGCUAGGUAGGUCAAAGAUUUAUCGGUAUGGGAUGGGCCUGCGUCUGAUUAGCUAGUUGGUGAGGUAACGGCUCACCAAGGCGACGAUCAGUAGCCGACCUGAGAGGGUGAACGGCCACAUUGGAACUGAGACACGGUCCAAACUCCUACGGGAGGCAGCAGUGGGGAAUAUUGCACAAUGGGGGAAACCCUGAUGCAGCAACGCCGCGUGAACGAUGAAGGCCUUUGGGUCGUAAAGUUCUGUUCUAGGUGAUGAAAACUGACAGUAACCUAGGAGAAAGCCCCGGCUAACUCCGUGCCAGCAGCCGCGGUAAUACGGAGGGGGCAAGCGUUAUCCGGAAUUAUUGGGCGUAAAGGGUACGUAGGUGGCCUUUUAAGCGUAGGGUAUAAGGCAAUGGCUCAACCAUUGUUCGCCCUAUGAACUGGAAGGCUUGAGUGCAGGAGAGGAAAGUGGAAUUCCUAGUGUAGCGGUGAAAUGCGUAGAUAUUAGGAGGAAUACCGGUGGCGAAGGCGACUUUCUGGACUUUUACUGACGCUCAGGUACGAAAGCGUGGGGAGCAAACAGG